rnacentral:misc_RNA from 1 species
GAAAUGCGAUAAGUAAUGUGAAUUGCAGAAUUCAGUGAAUCAUCGAAUCUUUGAACGCACCUUGCGCUCCUUGGUAUUCCUUGGAGCAUGCCUGUUUGAGUAUCAUGAAAUCUUCAAAGUAAAUCUUUUGUUAACUCAAUUGGUUUCUACUUUGGUAUUGGAGGUCUUUGCAGCUUCACACCUGCUCCUCUUUGUUCAUUAGCUGGAUCUCAGUGUUAUGCUUGGUUCCACUCGGCGUGAUAAGUUAUCUAUCGCUGAGGACACUGUAAAAGGUGGCCAAGGUAAAUGCAGAUGAACCGCUUCUAAUAGUCCAUUGACUUGGACAUACUUUUAUGAUAUGAUCUCAAAUCAGGUAGGACUACCCGCUGAACUUAAGC